rnacentral:rRNA from 1 species
GAUGAACGCUGGCGGCGUGCUUAACACAUGCAAGUCGAACGAAGCUUCUGGGGCGCUUGCGCCACAGGAUGCUUAGUGGCGGACGGGUGAGUAACGUGUGGGCAAUCUGCCCUCUACAGGGGAAUAAUCACUGGAAACGGUGACUAAUACCGCAUGUCAUCCCUUGGUCGCAUGGCCGAGGGAGAAAAGGAGCAAUCCGGUAGAGGAGGAGCCCGCAUCUGAUUAGCUAGUUGGUGAGAUAACAGCUCACCAAGGCGACGAUCAGUAGCCGACCUGAGAGGGUGACCGGCCACAUUGGGACUGAGACACGGCCCAAACUCCUACGGGAGGCAGCAGUGGGGAAUAUUGCACAAGGGGCGCAAGCCUGAUGCGGCAACGCCGCGUGAAGGAAGAAGGGUUUCGGCUCGUAAACUUCUAUCAACAGGGAAGAAACAAAUGACGGUACCUGAAUAAGAAGCCCCGGCUAACUACGUGCCAGCAGCCGCCGUAAUAC